UACAGAGGUCUCAAGCGUUGUUCGGAUUCAUUGGGCGUAAAGGGUGCGUAGGCGGGUCUUUAAGUCAGGGGUGAAAUCCUGGAGCUCAACUCCAGAACUGCCUUUGAUACUGAAGAUCUUGAGUUCGGGAGAGGUGAGUGGAACUGCGAGUGUAGAGGUGAAAUUCGUAGAUAUUCGCAAGAACACCAGUGGCGAAGGCGGCUCACUGGCCCGGAACUGACGCUGAGGUGCGAAAGCGUGGGGAGCAAACAGG
rnacentral:rRNA from 1 species